CAAUAAGCGGAGGAAAAGAAACCAACAGGGAUUGCCCCAGUAACGGCGAGUGAAGCGGCAAGAGCUCAAAUUUGAAAUCUGGCCUCCCUUGGGGGGUCCGAGUUGUAAUUUGUAGAGGAUGCUUCGGGUGUGGCCGCCGUCUAAGUUCCUUGGAACAGGACGUCGUAGAGGGUGAGAAUCCCGUCUUGGGCGGCCGGUCCGCGCCCGUGUGAAGCUCCUUCGACGAGUCGAGUUGUUUGGGAAUGCAGCUCUAAGCGGGUGGUAAAUUUCAUCUAAAGCUAAAUACUGGCCGGAGACCGAUAGCGCACAAGUAGAGUGAUCGAAAGGUUAAAAGCACCUUGAAAAGGGAGUUAAACAGCACGUGAAAUUGUUGAAAGGGAAGCGCUUGCGGCCAGACUCGAGGGGCGGGGUUCAGCGGGUGCGCGUCACCCGUGCACUCCCCGUCCCCCCGGGCCAGCAUCAGUUUCGACGGCCGGUCAAAGGCCCCCGGAAUGUGUCGUCUCUAGGGACGUCUUAUAGCCGGGGGUGCAAUGCGGCCCGCCGGGACUGAGGAACGCGCUCCGGCUCGGAUGCUGGCGUAAUGGCCGUAAGCGGCCCGUCUUGAAACAC
rnacentral:rRNA from 1 species